UGAGAGGAUGAUCAGCCACAUUGGGACUGAGACACGGCCAAACUCCUACCGGAGGCAACAUUGGGGAAUAUUGGAGGCGCAAGCCUGAUCCGGCCAUGCCUCGUGAGUGAUGAAGGCCUUAGGGUUGUAAAGCUCUCCGGAGAAGAAUGACGGUUUCCGGACAAUCCCCGGCUAACUUCGUGCCAGCAACCACGGUGAUACUAAGGGGGCUACCGUUGUUCGGAAUUACUGGGCGUAAAGCGCACGUACGCAUUUCAAUCGGGGGUGAAAUCCCUCAGCUCUACUCUGGAACUGCCUUUGAUACUGGGGUAUCUUAGAGUAUGGAAUAAGUUAAACUGGAAUUCCCGAAGUGUAAAGGUGAAAUUCUGUAUAUGUUCCUAGGAACUGCCCAAUGGCGAAGGGGCGGCUUACUGGUCCAUUACUGACACUCAUGUGCGAAAGCAUGAGGAUCAAACAGGAUUACAUACCCUGGUACUCCACGCCAUACACAAUGAAUGUUACCCGUCGGGCAGUAUACUGUUCAGUGGCGCAUCUUACGCAUUAUACAUUCCGCCUGGUGAAUACUGUCUCAAGAUUAAAACUCAAAGGAAUUGACGGGGGCCCGCACUAGCCGUGGAGCAUGUGGUUUAAUUCGAAUCAACGCGCAGAAACCUUACCAGCUCUUGACAUUCGGGGUUUGGGUCAGUGGAUACAUUGUCCUUCAAUUUAGGCUGGCCCCCAAAGCAGGUGCUGUCAGGGCUGUCGUUCACCUCGAUGUCAUGAGAUGUUUGGGUUAACU
rnacentral:rRNA from 1 species